rnacentral:tmRNA from 1 species
GGGGACGACAUGGCUUCGACGCUGGUUGCGAACCCUUGGGUGCAUGUCGAGAUGGCAGCCAAUCUCGUUAAUCCAAAGCUGCAUAUUAAUAGUCGCAAACGACGAAAACUACGCACUAGCAGCGUAAGCUGCUAGUCGUCCUGACUGGGGCGCCUGUAACCCAGAAGCUACAUCUCAGGACGUCAUCGCUUACAGGCUGCUCUGUUAUCCAGAGUUCACUGGCUAACAGCUAAGAUCUAAAGAACUCGCCUCUUACACCCUGACCUUCGGGUCGUUUGAGGUUAAAUUAAUAGAGGGAUACUAAGCAUGUAGAUCUUAAGGCAGAGUUCUGGCGGACGCGGGUUCGAUCCCCGCCGUCUCCACCA